GAAAGGAUGGCUAAUACCGCGUACGUCCGGGACCUCUUUGGGGGACCCGGAGAAAGCGGCGCAAGUCGCACCAGAGGAAGGGCCCGCCUACCAUUAGCUAGUUGGUGGGGUAAUGGCCUACCAAGGCGUCGAUGGUUAGCUGGUCUGAGAGGAUGAUCAGCCACACUGGGACUGAGACACGGCCCAGACACCUACGGGAGGCAGCAGUGGGGAAUUUUGCGCAAUGGGCGGAAGCCUGACGCAGCAACGCCGCGUGUGUGAUGAAGGCCUUCGGGUUGUAAAGCACUGUCUAGAAGGAAGAACAACCGGGGUUCACCCCUCGGCCUGACGGUACUUCUAAAGAAAGCACUGGCUAACUCCGUGCCAGCAGCCGCGGUAAUACGGAGAGUGCAAGCGUUGUUCGGAAUCAUUGGGCGUAAAGGGCGUCUAGGUGGCCUGGCAAGUCAGAUGUGAAAUCCCUCGGCUUAACCGAGGACGUGCAUUUGAAACUGCUAGGCUUGAGUGUCGGAAGGGGUUAGCG
rnacentral:rRNA from 1 species